rnacentral:misc_RNA from 1 species
AAGUCGUAACAAGGUUUCCGUAGGUGAACCUGCGGAAGGAUCAUUGCUGAUGCCGGCGGUCGGUCGAGCCCUCGCGAGGGGGUGAGGCCGCCGCUUUCAACAUCAUCUGCCCCUUUGUGAACCUGGCAUUGGAGCGCCGAACGGGAGCGAGCUUUGGGGCCCGCACUCUUUCCUCCCCUCAGACGGGAGGAUAGGCUUCCUCUGCCCAACAACCUGUCUUUUAUUGCCUGUCUCCCCAGACUGAAGCAAAAAAAAACAAAAUAUUACUUACAACUUUUAACAAUGGAUAUCUUGGCUCGC